CUUCUUCAUAUUGACAAAAGAAGAGAAUAUCUUUAUCAACUUCAGGAGUUUUUGGUGACAGAUAAUAGUAGAAAUUGGCGGUUUCGAGCUGAACUGGCUGAACAAAGUUUCUUCUGUUCGUUGGAUUUCCUACAAGUUGGUCAGCGAGAUGGUGAAGAAGCUGCACGCGGCAACACCACCAACGUUCGGAGUGGACCUCAUCAAUGAGCUUGUGGAGAACUUUGGCAGAUGUCCCAAGUGGUCUGGUCGGCAAGCCUUUGUCUUUGUCUGCCAGACUGUCAUCGAGGACGACUGCCUUCCCAUGGACCAGUUUGCUGUGCAUCUCAUGCCGCAUCUGCUAACCUUAGCAAACGACAGGGUUCCUAACGUGCGAGUGCUGCUUGCAAAGACAUUAAGACAAACUCUACUAGAAAAAGACUAUUUCUUGGCCUCUGCCAGCUGCCACCAGGAGGCUGUGGAGCAGACCAUCAUGGCUCUUCAGAUGGACCGUGACAGCGAUGUCAAGUAUUUUGCAAGCAUCCACCCUGCCAGUACCAAAAUCUCUGAAGAUGCCAUGAGCACAGCG
rnacentral:sRNA from 1 species